rnacentral:lncRNA from 1 species
GAGCAGUGCCUUUCAGUGCUUGGUUCACAGAGGACUCAGCUUGAGGAGGUCACUCGUUCACUGCCGCUCCUCCCAUUAUAUUUUUCCCCUUAUUGCAGAACUGCUGUAUGUAUACAGUGACUGAAAGGACUCAAUUUACUGCAACUGCUGUCUGGCUUUACUUACAACUUUUUGUUAUAAAGGAACUUACCUCCAUCUGUCUUUUCAAGGUUCUUAUUCCUUGUCUGGUGUCUGUCGAAGAAAUGGAAGAACUGUGCAUUUCUGUGAGAAACAUUUCCUUCUGUUGCAAGAAACCAUGGAAGAGGAGUUCAUUGUUACCAUCUGCACUUGGUUUAGAAGAGCUUUGAUUAAUAAGGACCACCCUAUUGUUCAUUUGUUUGACAUGUGGAAAUAUUUGUAAUCUGUUUCUGGUGAGACAGACCUUUUUUUCAGCCAGGACCUGGUUUGAUUUUUCAAAUCCACGUUGCCAAUGAAAACCAGCCUCCUGAAUCCGGAGGUCAGAGAAGGACACGCAGAGGUGUUUCAUCCCCCUCCCGGCCUCCCCCAAACACCAACACCUGUUAGAAGUGAGGUUGAAAAGAUCCUGUCGGAACUCAGGGACAGAGACCCAUUUCCAACCUGAAAGAGACUCUGAUGUAUGGAGCAUAAUGAGAGCGCAGACUGCCCACUGUUACACAUCAUUAUCAUUCAGAUCAUGAAAGAAAAUGAAAUGGUUCAAGCAGAUAACAGCUGUUUUUAUUCUGCUUUUCAAAGAUUGUCUUAAACAACCUGAUCUCAUGGCUUUUAUUUAAGGGUGAACACCCAAUUGUAAACAUAGG